rnacentral:misc_RNA from 1 species
UGGCUCUCGCAUCGAUGAAGAACGCAGCGAAAUGCGAUAAGUAAUGUGAAUUGCAGAAUUCAGUGAAUCAUCGAAUCUUUGAACGCACCUUGCGCUCCUUGGUAUUCCGAGGAGCAUGCCUGUUUGAGUGUCAUGGAAUUCUCAACCCAUAGAUCCUUGUGGUCUACGGGCUUGGAUUUGGAGGCUUGCCGGCCCUUACACGGGGUCGGCUCCUCUUGAAUGCAUUAGCUUGAUUCCGUGCGAAUCGGCUUUCAGUGUGAUAAUUGUCUACGCUGUGGCCGUGAAGCGUUUGGCGAGCUUCUAACCGUCCGUUAGGACAACUUCUUGACAUCUGACCUCAAAUCAGGUAGGACUACCCGCUGA